rnacentral:pre_miRNA from 1 species
AGAGGGAUAGCUGGGUCAAAUGGUGGUUCCAUUCCAAAUUUUCCAAGAAAUCUCCAUACUGCUUUCCAGAUUGGCUGCACCAUUUUGCAGUCCCAGCAGCAGU